AUGAACGCUAGCGGCAGGCUUAACACAUGCAAGUCGAGGGGUAUAGGUUUUCGGACCUAGAGACCGGCGCACGGGUGCGUAACGCGUAUGCAAUCUACCUUUUACAGAGGGAUAGCCCAGAGAAAUUUGGAUUAAUACCUCAUAGUAUUAUUGAAUGGCAUCAUUUAAUAAUUAAAGUCACAACGGUAAAAGAUGAGCAUGCGUCCCAUUAGCUAGUUGGUAAGGUAACGGCUUACCAAGGCAACGAUGGGUAGGGGUCCUGAGAGGGAGAUCCCCCACACUGGUACUGAGACACGGACCAGACUCCUACGGGAGGCAGCAGUGAGGAAUAUUGGUCAAUGGGCGCAAGCCUGAACCAGCCAUGCCGCGUGCAGGAUGACGGUCCUAUGGAUUGCAAACUGCUUUUGUACAGGAAGAAACAGUUCUACGUGUAGAACCUUGACGGUACUGUAAGAAUAAGGAUCGGCUAACUCCGUGCCAGCAGCCGCGGUAAUACGGAGGAUCCAAGCGUUAUCCGGAAUCAUUGGGUUUAAAGGGUCCGUAGGCGGUUUUGUAAGUCAAGUGGUGAAAGCCCAUCGCUCAACGGUGGAACGGCCAUUGAUACUGCAAGACUUGAAUUAUUAGGAAGUAACUAGAAUAUGUAGUGUAGCGGUGAAAUGCUUAGAGAUUACAUGGAAUACCAAUUGCGAAGGCAGGUUACUACUAAUGGAUUGACGCUGAUGGACGAAAGCGUGGGGAGCGAACAGGAUUAGAUACCCUGGUAGUCCACGCCGUAAACGAUGGAUACUAGCUGUUCGGAGCAAUCUGAGUGGCUAAGCGAAAGUGAUAAGUAUCCCACCUGGGGAGUACGUUCGCAAGAAUGAAACUCAAAGGAAUUGACGGGGGCCCGCACAAGCGGUGGAGCAUGUGGUUUAAUUCGAUGAUACGCGAGGAACCUUACCAAGGCCUAAAUGUAGAUUGACCGGUUUGGAAACAGAUCUUUCGCAAGACAAUUUACAAGGUGCUGCAUGGUUGUCGUCAGCUCGUGCCGUGAGGUGUCAGGUUAAGUCCUAUAACGAGCGCAACCCCUGUCGUUAGUUGCCAGCGAGUCAUGUCGGGAACUCUAACGAGACUGCCAGUGUAAACUGUGAGGAAGGUGGGGAUGACGUCAAAUCAUCACGGCCCUUACGCCUUGGGCUACACACGUGCUACAAUGGCCGGUACAGAGAGCAGCCACUGGGCGACCAGGAGCGAAUCUAUAAAACCGGUCACAGUUCGGAUCGGAGUCUGCAACUCGACUCCGUGAGGCUGGAAUCGCUAGUAAUCGGAUAUCAGCCAUGAUCCGGUGAAUACGUUCCCGGGCCUUGUACACACCGCCCGUCAAGCCAUGGAAGCUGGGGGCGCCUGAAGUCGGUGACCGCAAGGAGCUGCCUAGGGUAAAACUGGUAACUAGGGCU
rnacentral:rRNA from 1 species